rnacentral:sRNA from 1 species
UCAGUGGUGGAAUAGUUGCCUUCGGCUUU